CUCCGACUCCUCGCAUGGGGUGUCGGGAAAGAUUUCAUCGGUAUGGGAUGGGGUCGCGUCCUAUCAGGUAGUCGGCGGGGUAACGGCCCACCGAGCCUACGACGGGUAGCCGGCCUGAGAGGGCGACCGGCCACAUUGGGACUGAGAUACGGCCCAGACUCCUACGGGAGGCAGCAGUGGGGAAUAUUGCACAAUGGGCGCAAGCCCGAUGCAGCGACGCCGCGUGCGGGAUGACGGCCUUCGGGUUGUAAACCGCUUUUGAUCGGGAGCAAGCCUUCGGGUGAGUGUACCUUUCGAAUAAGCACCGGCUAACUACGUGCCAGCAGCCGCGGUAAUACGUAGGGUGCAAGCGUUAUCCGGAAUUAUUGGGCGUAAAGGGCUCGUAGGCGGUUCGUCGCGUCCGGUGUGAAAGUCCAUCGCUUAACGGUGGAUCGUCGCCGGGUACGGGCGG
rnacentral:rRNA from 1 species